GGGCAUCUCUGCUUAGACUGCUGCCCCCGCGACCCAGCCCCGGAUAAGCGGAAGAAAAUGAUGAUAUUGCAUAAAUUCAUGAAAUUGGUCCAUUAAAUAUUUUAUUGGAUAUACAACCGUGUAAUUGUUAUUGUGACAAUGGGCCUCAUUCAUGAAACAUGCAUACAAUCCAAUUUGAUUGUACGACCAUUUCACAGACAGAGCUGGUAUUCAUCAAUAUUAUCUUUGUUGUAUCCUUGCGAUCAAACUCAUGUCUGGUCGGAGGCCGCGUAAACCCCUGUCAAAAACAUAAGAUCAUGCUUGAUUCCCAAUAAGACCAUCAUUAUCAUGAAAAACAGCAAUCAUAACAGUCUCAGUAACAACAACCACAAUUACAAUUAUAGGUAAUAUAAAACAAGUUGAAGAGGAAUAUAACAUCUCCAAAUGUAACCACAAUAUCAAAUAUUGUGUCACUAUUGUUAUAUAUUUUAAUUUCAUUUUCUCUUAUUUCUGUUGUUCAUGCGAUUUUAAGGGUUGAAAUGCAUGUGUGUAAUGCGCUAGACAAAUUUGCUUUGUCUGGCUUUUCCUAAGUCACUGAAGCUGUAUCGACGUACUUGGAGGUCAUAAAUGGUCGUUCAUUUCGGUGGCCGGCAUCUUGAAUAGCUAGCAGGUCUUAAAUUGACUAGUGAGAGGAUAAAUUAACCAGUAGCUCUGGGUCGAGCAGUUACCCUAAUGAUGGCAGAGCUUGCUCUUUUAAAGGACUUCGGCUCUGGGCUGAGACGCGAAAGAGUUCCGUAACUGCGGCUGAUUUCGUCGUGGGGAAUGAUGAAUGGUUAAUUAUCCGUUUCAGGCUAUAAUUUAUGUUGAAGUCUGUCAAUUCAUAGGCUGCUGAUCGCCACCCCCGCAUUAAUCACAGGUGUGUCAUAUGUAAAUAGGGACAGCUGCAGUGCGUUCUUGCGUCCACGGCUUAAUCGGAUUUAUCAAUCUGCGAUCACAUCUACGCUAAUUUCGAUUUAUGAAUGAGGGACAAUAUUUAUAUUUCAGUGUUGUGUUGUCAGGAUCAUGUAAUGGUACCUGUGUGGACGUCUUGGUCUGACAACUUGUGUUUUUGCAGGUAAAUACACCUUUGUGUCUAACUGCUGAGUGUCUGUGAAGCAGAAUGGAUUCAUCAUCCCUUUUCCAUGGUAGACUGAACUGUUUGUCUUAUACAAGUGAACCUCAACCUCAGAAGAUCCUUGAUUUGCUGUACCAUAGGGACAUGAAGUUGAUUCUGUCGCCAACUUGUGGACCUGUCCUAAGGAUCUUCAAAAACACCACUGUUGUAUUUUUGAUCACAUAGGUUUUCCUGUCAGACCGGUUGUCUUUAAUUUCCAUGCCCUGGCCUGACUGACCGGAACAUUUAUCCGAACAGAAAUCUAAUGCUUCUCACAGUGGAGAAUUCUGGACUGGUUGUGAGGUCACAGGAAAUAGACUGCAUCUUCGACACAGCUCAAUAAAUGUUUUCACAAUUUAAAUCUGAGUUUACAGUAUGAACUGUGUCACAAAUUUAUUGGUGCCAUUGAUAUUUCCUGUAGGCUAAUUUUAGUAAUUACAACAUCAAGUUAAUAAAAGGAUCAAUAGUAUGUACCUACUAUGUUUUCAUUCUCCCAGCUCGAUGGAACUUGAUGUGCUGGAGUCCUUGCUUAAGAUGUAAAAUAUCAGGUUGUUCCUUACUUGCUGCAGCCUAAUGGUCAUCUUAUUGUGAAACCUGUAACACAUUUUUAAUCUCUCAAUUUUUUUAUGGUACCAACCAGUCUCUGGACAGUCAUAAGCUCCUAACAAACCUAACGACCCUGUUAACUAAAUAUGUAUAUCUAUUUAAAAACGGUGUUGUCUAUCUGGCCAAAACAAUUUGAUCUCUGAUACAUUCUGAAUAUGUAUCCGUAUUCAGUACAAUAUGUAUUGUGAAUGCACAUCAAUCAGAUUUUAGACCUCUGUUAGUCAUCGUUUUUUGGGGGGAAGCUAUAUCUGGGUUUGCUUUACCAGUUUUUCCUUGAACAAUGCCUUGAAAAAUAAAAAUGUUGAAAUGUU